rnacentral:lncRNA from 1 species
GAUUAUUACUUUUAUUUUGCUCCCUUUCCUUGAUUCUAUGCAGUAACGUACUUGUUAUUUUUCGUUACUAACUUAGUAAUAUUGGCUACUGAUUAAUAGGCAAACUUAAAACUAGUUAGUAACUAAUUUUCAUCAUGCAACAAGUAGAUACAGUUUUCAGAGACAGAGUUCAGAGAAGGCGUUAUGAUUAUUUAGCUCAGAAGAAUAUGGCUUUAUCCAUAUAUUAUGAUGGACCUACCAUGGAUAGGCUAGGUAUCCACGAUAGUAUCUUGUUU